AGCCUUCUGUAUCUGUGGUGAGGUUUUAUCACACAUCAGACCACAAGGGCUGAUGAGACUCUCAAGAUAAGUGAAGCG
rnacentral:pre_miRNA from 1 species